GAACUUACCUUGCAAGAAGGAAACCAUGAACACGAAGGUGGUUUUUCUAUGGCAAUGCUCACACACAGAACUCCAGGUGUGCUGACCCCUGCAAUUUGUCCAAAUGUGGGAAAUACCAUGGCAUAAUUUGUGGUAGUAGGGGAUGGCAUUCACACUCUUG
rnacentral:snRNA from 1 species